GGGGGCAUAGCUCAGUUGGGAGAGCGACAGACUGAAGUUGGUUACGCACCAGGUUUUCUGGAGGUCCCCAGUUCAAUCCUGGGUGCCCCCA